CAAACACAGCGCAAGUUGGGAAGAUCAGUGAUGGGGACAAACCCAACCUUGAAGAAACUCCCACAAAAAAGCAGUGGUGUAGCCCAGGACUGAACUAGCCCUCCUAUUUCCAAACAGUCUACCGAGGACAGCAUGGCCUAGGAGGUGUGUAUAACUGGCAGGUGAUCAAGAGUCAAAAUAGAAGCAGAAUCACCGGUGGCGUACAUCCUGUGCUCCACGGGCGAGACGCAAACAAGAAAAGCAGUUGAGUUGUUUGGUGCAAAAAGCAGCUUCCCGGGAUCGCUCCAGCCACGGUGUCGUUGUGAUCAAUCCGCAUUGAUGCCAAAGCUGCCAUCCCGCAAGCAGUGAGGAUGUCCCAUUUCUGCACCUGUCGUCCCCAUUUGCACACCUUUAGGAUGUGGGCAGGUGCCAUUGCCCAGGCCGUGCGGCUCUGACAAGGGAGGCUGGGGGAGGCAGGAUGGAGCUGAGGUCAGCACUAAGUUUCUCCCCCACGGAAAGAUAUGGCCUUGAGAACACGUGUGGAUUGGUUGUUCCUCAGCCCACCUCCAGCACCUCGCAAGCAGAAACUGAUCCCCUCCAGCCCGCUACAGAGGUAUCGGGCAAGGCAGAGCAGUGGAGGAGUGCCAUGCUUGGGCUCUCCCUGGCCAGCCAAGCAGUACUGCAGUGUGGGUCCCACACUGGCAGAGCCAUGGCUACAGCGAGGGCUGCAUGUGCCAGAGCCCUCUGUCUGGCAUCUUUCCCAAAUCAUAAAUUCUCUUAAAAAAAAAAAAAAAAAAAAAAACCUCCCAGAAAAUAAAACAAAAAAUAUCAGGCAGCAUAAUCUUAAUUGUACAUUCUGCUUUUCUCUUCAGUCCAAAAUAAUGGAAAUGGCAUUAAUACAGUGCUGCACUGAGCAUGUACCCGCACAGGGGCCGAAGGACUGCCUCUGCUUUUUGAAAG
rnacentral:lncRNA from 1 species